AACGAACGCUGGCGGCAUGCCUAACACAUGCAAGUCGAACGAGACCUUCGGGUCUAGUGGCGCACGGGUGCGUAACGCGUGGGAACCUGCCCUUAGGUUCGGAAUAACUCUCCGAAAGGGGUGCUAAUACCGGAUAAUGUCUUCGGACCAAAGAUUUAUCGCCUUUGGAUGGGCCCGCGUUGGAUUAGCUAGUUGGUAGGGUAAAAGCCUACCAAGGCGACGAUCCAUAGCUGGUCUGAGAGGAUGGUCAGCCACACUGGGACUGAGACACGGCCGGGACUCCUACGGGAGGCAGCAGUGGGGAAUAUUGGACAAUGGGCGGAAGGAUGAUCCAGCAAUGCCGCGAGAGUGAUGAAGGCCGUAGGGUUGUAAAGCUCUUUUACCCGGGAUGAUAAUGACAGUACCGGGAGAAUAAGCGCCGGCUAACUCCGUG
rnacentral:rRNA from 1 species